rnacentral:lncRNA from 1 species
GAAAUGGAAGUAAAAUUCGGGGCUUUAAUUAUAAAUUUACAAACAGGUUACAGGGGACUGAAAUAAGACGCUCUCAAAGCGUGGGGGACCAUCUGGGAAAUAUUCCCCUGUCCUAAAACGCAAUGCUUUAACGGAAGGUCUGCACAUGGUCUAAGGACCAAUUUUAAAUACCAACAAAAAUCACAACCCAAAUAAAAAAAAAAACUAAAAAGGAUCAGAUUGCACUAUGCUGCAAAAGCGGAGGGGCUGAACAUGCAAUUAGCCCCUCCAAGAAAAACACGCGGAUCCUAGCCAUGUAGUGGGUCGGGUCGUGGGUCAGAGGUCCAAAACGGCGUAGUUUUGGCCUCUGAACUUACUCCACAAAACAAAGUCGUUUAACAGAAUUUAUAAAGACCAAUUUUUUGAAAUUUUCAAUCUGUUUCUUUUUUUUUUGAAAUUUCAGAAAAACCUCCUUUUCUCUCAACUCUCUCUCUCUCAAAAAACAAACGCCCCUAAGGGCUGGCCAUGGGGCCACCGCAGCCACCGAGCGCCAGCGCCAUCGACCGCCGCAUGCGGUUGCCGGAGUUAAUCGGAGAAAGGCCAUUUUGGCCAUUUCUCCUCCCUUAGUCCGUUUCUUGAGAUGAAAAAUCUAAAAAAUAAAAGAAAAAUAAAACCUUCCCUUUUUAAGCCCGAUUCCGACGACGGCGAAGGGGCUUCCGUCGACGGAGCCACGGGACGAAUCAUGUACGUUUCUCUUUUCGUUUUUUUUGUUUAUUUUCGUAGAUAAAAAAUAAAGUAAAAUAAAAACAAAAUAACGGAUUGAAAUUAAAAAUAAAAAUAGUAGUCACCUUAAAGUGUUUUUUCUGUUUUAUUAUUUUUCAAUGUUCGAAAAAAAAGAGAGAGCUACAAGCAUUAGAUUUAGGCUAUUAUAGUCGAUUUGAACAACUCUCUAUUUCUACGGUUUUGUUUGUUUCUUCUGUCUGCUUCUAUUUGGCUUCUUCUUUUAUAGGUGUCAAAGGCGUGCUGCGGUGGUGGCUGGCAGAGGCGUGCACAGACGCAUGCUUACUGACGUGGAGGAGUGAGGCAACUGAUCAUGCGGCUAGGAUUUCUAGGGUUUCAGUUUUUACUGAAACUUAGUUUAGGUUGUGGGCUAAGGUUAGUUUUGGGCUGUUUGG